rnacentral:rRNA from 1 species
CCUACGGGAGGCAGAAGUGGGGAAUAUUGGGCAAUGGGCGCAAGCCUGACCCAGCAACGCCGCGUGAAGGAAGAAGGCUUUCGGGUUGUAAACUUCUUUUGUCAGGGAAGAGUAGAAGACGGUACCUGACGAAUAAGCAACGGCUAACUACGUGCCAGCAGCCGCGGUAAUACGUCGGUGGCAAGCGUUGUCCGGAUUUACUGGGUGUAAAGGGCGUGUAGCCGGGUUGACAAGUCAGAUGUGAAAUCCUGCGGCUUAACCGCAGAACUGCAUUUGAAACUGUUGAUCUUGAGUACUGGAGAGGCAGACGGAAUGCCUAGUGUAGCGGUGAAAUGCGUAGACAUUAGGAGGAACACCAGUGGCGAAGGCGGUCUGCUGGACAGCAACUGACGGUGAGGCGCGAAAGCGUGGGGAGCAAACAGGAUUAGAUACCCUAGUAGUC